ACUGGACCUCGUCUCUCAUGAAUGGGGCUUUUCUCGAGCGCACACAGAGCCCGAUUCACAGGUCUCCGCGAGGAACCAGUUUAAAUAAAUACGGGCAGCGUUUCAGCCCCAUCUGGAAGCCAUCGCUGCCAAUCUCCCAAUGCAAACAAGCCUCACAAAGGAGGAUUGAGAUCUCUCCCCUGAGCCAGGGGCACUUUCGGAGGCGAGGGCUCUGAAAUGCAGAUGAGGGUCAAAGACGCCGCCGCCAGUAAGUUUCUCAAACUCGUGGAAAGAUGGAGAGGAGGGGUGUGGCCGAGCUCUAGGUGUCUGACAUUCCUGACGUCCACGCAGACUGCGCAUUUCCCCACGUCACACCUUUGGGUCCGCUGACCCCAGGCGGGGGAAGUUAUAAAAGGUGGGAUGCUCCAGGGCGCAAAAUCAGCCUCUCGGAUGCAGAAUCACACUCCCUCUGGGAGGAGGAGCGACUGGAAGGUUUGGGCCGGAGAAGCUGUGGAAUCACUCCCUCCCAGGAAAGAUGCGGCGAUGAGAGAGCUCUACCGCCUAAUUAAGCAAGCGACCCUAAUACCGGAUGGAGAAUUUGAGAAUUAUUUUAAAGCCACCCAGCUAAUUCCAUUGCGCACUAAGGCAGGGGUCAGUCAAGAAGACAGCUUUGUGGGCGUGUGCUUGUAAAUGUAGUACAAAAAUAUAGUCAGUCUGAGUCCAGGCCACGUAUAGUCACGCUGUAUUCCUCAAAUGCCCAGGAGCGCGCCUCCAGCUUAGCGCACUACCGGGUGACCCGGCCAGAGUCUCCUGCUCCCGGCUCCUCGCAGCUGCGCCGCAGGCUCCAGCCCUGCCCCCGCUGCGCUAAUGACCGGAAAGCCCGCCUGAGCCCGCCGCCUUCCACGCUAUCCCUGGAAACAGCCUGGUGGCAGGAGAGGGCCCACAGAGCCUCGAAGGCAGAGAACUUUUAUUCCCCCCGCCGAAGAGUUUCCCUCUGCGAUUGAUUUACAAUCUGUAACAUACAAAGACAGGGCUGGAAUCCCAGCCGUCGGAAACGUGCCCAAACACGUGGAAAAAAAAAUCCUCUCUACCUAAUACACUUUCCAGGCUUCGUUUGUCCUGAAUAUAAUCCCAGACAGUGGACCUUACCAAAGGAGGGGUAGAAAGGUGCAGUCCGAACAGCAUUUGGACCCGACUACAAGAGCCAUCUCUAACUAUACCGGUUGAAAUAGUUGUAGCAACCGUAGCAAUCGACCAGCCUGCUCCCCUUCCCUGACACACACAUACACACACACACACGCACACACACACACACCACGCAGCCUGGCUCGGUGAGUUCCAGAAUUUAGAAAAGUAACUCAUUGUAG
rnacentral:lncRNA from 10 species